AAGAAAUAAAACCUGGUAAGGUGAGCCUCUUAUGCAGUCAAAUGCUCUACACCUGAAUUCUCCCAUCAGUAUUGUGCUGCUGCUGCUGCUGCUGCUAAGUCGCUUCAGUCAUGUUCGACUCUGUGCGACCCCAUAGAUGGCAGCCGACCAGACUCCCCCGUCCCCGGGAUUCUCCAGGCAAGAACACUGGAGUGGGUUGCCAUUUCCUCCUCCAAUGCAUGAAAGUGAAGAGUGAAAGUGAAGUCGCUCAGUCGUGUCCGACUCUUCAUGACCCCAUGGACUGCAGCCUACCAGGCUCCUCCAUCCAUGGAAUUUUCCAGGCAAGAGUACUGGAGUGGGGUGCCACUGCCUUCUCUGAAUAUUGUGCUAGUUUCUGCCAUACGUCAACAUGAAUCAGCCAUAGAUAUACUUAUGUCCCCUUCUUCUUGAACUUCCCUCCCACCUUACAUCCCAUCCCAACCCCUCUAGGUUGUCACAGAGCACUGGGUUUGAGCUUCCUGUAUCCUACAGCAAAUUUCCAUUGGCUAUCUAUUUUACCAACCUAGAUAGCAUAUUAAAAAGCAGAGACAUUACUUUGUCAACGAAGGUCCAUCUAGUCAAGGCUACGGUUUUUCCAGUGGUCAUGUAUGGAUGUGAGAGUUGGACUAUAAAAAAAGCUGAGUGCCAAAUAAUUGAUGCUUUUGAACUGUGGUGUUGGAGAAGACUCUUGAGAGUCCCUUGGACUGCAAGGAGAUCCAAUCAGUCCAUCCUAAAGGAGAUCAGUCCUGGAUGUUCACUGGAAAGACUGAUGCUAAAGCUGAAACUCCAAUACUUUAGCCAGCUGAUGCAAAGAGCUGACUCAUUUGAAAAGACCCUGAUGCUGAGAAAGAUUGAAGGCAGGAGGAGAAGGGGCCGACAGAGGAUGAGAUGGCUGGAUAGCAUCACCAACUCAAUGGACAUGGGUUUGGGUGGACUCCAGGAGUUGGUAAUGGACAGGGAGGCCUGGUGUGCUGUGGUUCAUGGGGUUGCAAAGAGUCAGACACGACUGAGCGACUGAACUGAACUGAACUGAAUUUAUAUGUCCCAAGGUUACUUUUUCAAUUCAUCCCUCCUCCUUCCACCACUGCGUCCACAAGUCUGUUCCCUGACUACAUCUCCAAUGCUGCCCUGCAAAUAGGUUCAUCAAUCCUAUUUUCUAGAUUCCAUAUAUAUGCGUUAGUAUACGAUAUUUGUUAUUCUCUUUCUGAUUUACUUCACUCUGUAUACUAGGUUCUUGGUUCAUCCACCUCAUUAGAACUGACUCAAAUGCAUCCCUUUUUAUGGCUGAGUAAUAUUGCAUUGCAUGUAUGUGCCACAACUUCUCUAUCCGUUCAUCUGUCAGUGGACAUUCAGGUUGCCUCCAUAUCCAAGCCUCUGCAAACAGUGCUGCAGUGAACACUGAGGUACAUGCGUCUCUUUCAAUUCUGGUUUCCUCCAAGUAAACCUUCUAUCAGUUAACCCAGUAGCGGGAUUGACUGAUGUGAUUUUAUCUGUUGUGUGGUUGUUAUUAUCUUAAUCUAGAACCAAAAAUAUCCCAACUUUCAUUAUUUGUCAUGAGGCCUUUAACCGAAUUCAAUUAUGCCUUAAAGUUCAACUUGUAUUAUACUUUAAUAUG
ensembl:lncRNA